rnacentral:rRNA from 1 species
UACGUAGGUGGCGAGCGUUAUCCGGAAUUAUUGGGCGUAAAGAGCGCGCAGGUGGUUGAUUAAGUCUGAUGUGAAAGCCCACGGCUUGACCGUGGAGGGUCAUUGGAAACUGGUCGACUUGAGUGCAGAAGAGGGAAGUGGAAUUCCAUGUGUAGCGGUGAAAUGCGUAGAGAUCGGGAGGAACACCAGAGGCGAAGGCGGCGACCUGGACAGUGACUGACACUCAACUACGAAAGCGUGGGGAGCAAACAGG